rnacentral:tRNA from 1 species
CAAAGGUUUGGUCCUAGCCUUACUGUUAAUUG